rnacentral:rRNA from 1 species
CAGCAGCCGCGGGAAUACAGAGGGUGCAAGCGUUAAUCGGAUUUACUGGGCGUAAAGGGCGCGUAGGUGGUUAUUUAAGUGAGAUGUGAAAGCCCCGGGCUUAACCUGGGAACUGCAUCUUAUACUGGGUAACUGGAGUGCAGUAGAGGGUAGUGGAAUUUCCGGUGUAGCGGUGAAAUGCGUAGAUAUCGGAAGGAACACCAGUGGCGAAGGCGGCUACCUGGACUGAGACUGACACUGAGGCGCGAGAGCGUGGGGAGCAAACAGGAUUAGAUACCCGGGUAGUCCCUGUCUCUUAUAU